CUUUAAUGUUGUCUUUGUAUAAUUAAUUUUGAAUAAUGUGUUCAUAUCUGGAGAAAUAGGUACAAUUUGAACUCUAGACAUUAAGUGGUUCUGAUAUAAAGCAUUAUUUUAAUAUCAUGGUUGUUUUAAAAAUAAACUUAUGUUUAGACCUUAGGGCUUUUCAAUUAAAACAUACAUGGUACAAAGGUACUUUGAUAACAGAGUGAGAAUCCAUAGGAACAAUUUUAGAGUCAUAUAAAAAAGAAGAUGUGGUAUGAUUGCCAAUGAGACAACUAUUUACAAAAGACCAAAAUGACACAGACAUUAACAACUAUAGGUCACUGUGCUGCCUUCAACAAUGAGCAAAGCCCAUACCGCAUAGUCAGCUAUAAUAGGCCCCGAUAAGACUGUAAAACAAUUCAAACGAGAAAACUAACGGCCUUAUUUAUGUACGAAAAACAAAUAUGCAUACAUUUCAAUUUUGCACACUCUUAUUCAGAGUGCCAAAUUCAAUUUGUGUUCCCUGAUUCCUAUAUAUGUUUUUGUGGAACAGCCCUCAUGAGAGAGACUAACUCAGUUUAAAAUGUUACACUUUUUACCAUUUUGCCUCUGAUUUCGUAAUGUUUUGAGUUAUUUCCCUUUGAUGAAAACAUUCAAAUAAUGAUUUAUAAAGAUUUUUCUUAAUGUUUCUAAUUUUCUGUUUGCUGCAUAUUGGAAGUUAUAGUUAUCAGUUUUUUGUAUGCCUUGGACUCCUG
rnacentral:lncRNA from 1 species